rnacentral:rRNA from 1 species
UACAGAGGUCUCGAGCGUUGUUCGGAUUCAUUGGGCGUAAAGGGCGCGUAGGCGGCGGGGCAAGUCGGGUGUGAAAUCUCAGAGCUCAACUCUGAAACUGCACUCGAUACUGCUUUGCUUGAGGACUGGAGAGGAGAUUGGAAUUCACGGUGUAGCAGUGAAAUGCGUAGAUAUCGUGAGGAAGACCAGUGGCGAAGGCGGAUCUCUGGACAGUUCCUGACGCUGAGGCACGAAGGCCAGGGGAGCAAACGGG